CCCACACACAUUACUUACAUACAAUAUAAUUUUUUUCUAUACAAUUUCCUGACAACACAAUAUUCAAAAUAAGGCAUUUUAAAGAUGUCCUUAAGAUAUCUUUUAGUCAUGGUUUAAUCAGUUCCUAAAAAUCUGAUAGACGUCUAAAAGACGUCUUUAAGAUGUCUGAUAACCCGAUUUUGGAUAUUGUGCUGUAUAAAGAAUUGACACAAAAUCGUUUUAUUAUUAUUGAAUUAAUAUUGCAACAAAAAAUUCAUUUUUCCUUCUUGCGGUUAAAAUUUUAAAAUAGCUUAUUUCUUAGCUUUGAACAUAGAAGAAGAAGAGUCGAUAUUGACAGUUCGGUAAAAAAAUAGUUUAUGCCAUAAUAUCAAUGUGUGGAGAAGUUUUAUAUAAUCGUUUACAUACGAAUUGUGGGUAUAUUUAGUCUCUUUUCUUUUUGCCGUGCAAUCUCGCUCGUUCGACAAUUUACUAGAACAGACAUUAUUAAAUGCCAAUGCAAUCGAAAAUGAAAGCUAUACGAAUCGAUCGGCAUUUGGCAAUAUGGCUGAGCUAUGCGGGUUGUAACAUUCGAUUGUCGUAGUGCGCAGAUAAUACGACGAUACCAAAGGCUUUUAUAAAUUAUUGCGGGUUCUCAACUCUGCGGGUUACGGAGGGUCCUUCAGACGAGUUGCUAUCUUGGAACAUAACCUGACGAGUAGUGUCCUGACAAGCAGCCUGUUGCGUGACCCGAGCGAUCAAUAUCUGUGCGAGCGCAACACCCGCAACCCGCAACUGCUCCUCGUGUCAUCGCCGCGCCGCGCCUUACUACUGAGGGAUUGGUACGUACGCCACGUUGCUACGGGACUACGGGGUUACAUUUCUUUUCCUCCCAGUUUCAUCUUUUCCGGCUUAAAGACGGUCGCCGCGUGUGCGCAGUUACGCAUCGUUUCAUGUUACGCUAUUACCCUAAGCUGCUGCGACGGGAAAAUAAGUCGCGCAGGUACUCGAUGAGAAUUUUAUUGCGAUUCCAAUCAAAAUUGUGCUUCGAUAUAUGGGAACAUUUAAAACUUUUGAAAACCUUUGAAACCAUCGUGUUUCAAUCUUACUUAAAUUUUGUGUAAAGACUCUCUUUGAAUAACACAGCUAAAAAAUGAUAAAGAUGUUAUUUAGGAUGAAAAUCAUUUUCCAGAUUUCAUGAGAUUUUAUAUAGGCAUUUGAUAUUUAAAAAAAUCAAUUUUAAGAUUAAGAUUAAAUGAAGAGAAUUUUCUAUAACAAUAAUAUAAUUGCAUAUAUAUCACUAGAUUCAUAUUUAAACGAUUAAUUCUUUUAAAUCAAAUUGCCUAAUUAGUAAAUAAAUUUCGUUUUUCUUUUAUUAUAGAAUAGUUUUAUUUAUAUGUGUACUUCUACAAGAGUAAUUGCUUAAUAUAAAAAGUAAUUUGUAAUCAAGGAAAUUACUAAUCUGGAUAAAAGUGUAAAACAAUUCACUUUGUAUGUCAUAGACUGCUCGAGAGUUAAAAAUUGUUUUCUCUUUUUUAUAAACAAAAUUUUUUUUUAUAAACGCAAAUAAAGUUAAAUUUAUAUAGGAUAGUGAUUUCACUGUUUUGUUGUUAAUUUGUACUGUUUUUGUGAACUUUCCAAUUAAUCUCUUCUUCUCGACAUAGAAUUUAAAAAGUUUAAGAAGUGUAGGAAGAGUGGUCUUUUCAUAUUAUUUGUGUAAAGUAUGUAGGCAUAUUUUAACAUGAAAAAAAAACAAAGUAUUUCGAGAAUAUAUUAAAUAUGAAGUAACCUCGCGCAUACGAAGAGGAGAGAGAAUGCGAGUAAAGAGAGAGAGAGAGAGAGAGAGGGGGGGGAGAUACUGGUUAUUGCGAAGAAUAAUAUACCAUAUGCCUUGGAGGUCGAAUUGGCUAGGACGCCCUCACGGAAUGAUCGGAAAUCCAGGUUCGAACUCCGGCAGAGGUAUUAUUUUUUGCAAUAAAUUUAUUUACAGUUUUUCGUGAAAGGGGGAAUUUUAAGAUGUUCUGAGCAUCGAUAUUUAGCUUAGUAAUUGUGUUGUAAGUCUGACGAAAUCUGUCGGCAAUGUAAAUAAGCUAAGAAAUUUAAUUUACAAUAAUAAAAAAAUUGUAUUCAUCACUAAGAUCUGAUGCAGAUCGUUAGGCAUUCUAUUUAAGCCAUUGAUAUAUUUAAACAUAUACUGGUCAGAAGAAUUAAUGUACUAAUAUUAUUAUACGUUAUAAAUAUAAAUAUAUAAAUAUACAGAUAUAAAUAUAUGUAUUAAUAUAAAGAUAUAAUGUAGAACGUAGUAUUUAUAAGCUGUAUGUAUUAUCUCCGUUACUAGGUAAGAAAUUCUAAAUAAUUACUUAUGGAAUCGUUUGUUUAAUAGCUUAUUGUUAUAUUUAUAUAGCUGCGCUAAUAUGGCAAUACGUAAUAGUAUAUAUCUGUUAUAAAGCGUUUUUACUUUCGAGAUUAAAAAAAUUUCUUGUUUAAGAUACAUUUUAACAUUUAAUUGCAUAUACUUCCUGAUAUUUUAAUAACUUGAGAGUAUCAUUACAUGAAUUUAUAUACAUUUGAGUAUUUUUUGUUAUUUAACUUUUUAUUUGGCUGUAUACAAUUUAAAUUAUGCAAAAUUAAAUAAUUAAUAGAGUUUUGUUAAUGUAACUCUUUAAAAGUAUUGAGACGUCUCAAUAAGUCUAAUAUAUUCUCUUUUCAAAGUGUUUAUCUAAUCAAUCAAUAUAUGGCAUAUAUGUUGUUAAUUUAAUCGCUAAUCUAUAGUUUACAUUACAUGUAUUAUAAGUUUUCAAUAUUGCGAUUUAUAUGCGAAAUUUAUAUGUACUCUACAAUUUUAUUCUUUAUUUUAAAUAGAAAUAUAAUUUAAUAACAAAAUACAGUUUUAUUAAUCAAUUAAUUAAUUAAAACAAAUGUAAAUUUACUAUUUCUGUUCCUCAUUAUUUGUUAUGCUGUAUCGCUACGUUUUUAUAAAUAACAUUUUACGUAAUAAAUAUAUCAUAACUUUGAGUCCAUUAUUUAUUGAAGAACAUUUUAAUAAAUAUAAUCCACGCGUUAAGUUUUCAAUUUAAAAUAUUAAUUAUUAAUAAAGUUAUUACAUAUAAAAUGUGUGUAUGUGUGUGUGGUCAUAACAUUACAUUUUAUCUAUAUAAAUAUUAAAUUGCUCAAUCAUGUUAGAAUUUUGGAACCUUUUUUGUUGCAAAAAGAGUUAAAUGUUUAUCUGUAAAUAGAAUUUUUAUUAUAUGUGAGUCUUAUUUAUUACCCUAACACCCUAAUAGUACAAUUUAUCGGUCCAAUAUAUUCAAAUCGUUGGCUAAACAAUACAUGCUGCUCGGAUAUGUUAUAUAUUCUUUUUAUUAUUUAAUAAUAAAUAAGAUUUGCAUAAUUAUAAUAUAAAUUUUAUUUUCAGAUACAUUUAGCUUUUUUUUAGAUUUUAACUGCAAAUUUCUUAAAUUUGUAGCAUGAUGGAACGAUUAUAUAUGUAAAAAUCGAAUUUAUAUUCAGCGUCCAAAAAAUUACUGGAAGUGACUAAUCUCGUUUUGAUGCUUUUUUUGUUAAACUAUGAUGUAAAUUAUGACUUAUAUUUAAAUCUAUUUAAAUAUAACAAAAUUAUGUAUAAGAAGAUUUCAUGUACUUUUAAUUAAUAUUUGUAUCAAUUUAUAUUCUUUCGGUAUUAGUGCUAAAUAUUUGUAUAUUCUGUUUUUAUAAUUUGUUAUUUGUUUACGUCAUCGUAAUUUAAUUUUUAUAAGUAUAACGAAUUAAAAAAUAUAGAUGCAAAUGUGAAGCAUCCGUUAUGUACAAAAAUGUAAUAAAGCAAUGUGAUAAUUGAUAAUUGAAAAGUAAUUUAUAAAAGCUAGUUUGAUAAUUUAUAAUGAAUAUAAAAAUGUUGCUGCUUUAUAUAACUUAAAUAUUUUUGGUUUAUAGCUCUUUAUACAUUAUAGACUUUCGAUUCCUCGAGUUGAUAUUUAUAGACUUUGUUUUAUUAUUUAAGUGUCAAAGAAAA